rnacentral:misc_RNA from 1 species
UUUCCGUAGGUGAACCUGCGGAAGGAUCAUUAUUGUAUAACCGCGCUGCGAGGGCUGUAGCCGAAACCAAUGGUCGCGCACGCCCGCGGGCCCUUUUAACCAUCAUCCUGACCUCAAUGUGCGCUAUCGCGAGGGUCCACCAUUGGCAAGUACGGAGGGGGUGUUACGCUCUCACACAAAGUACGCAGUAAGUGUAGAGUGUAUAUUUUGUUUUUCCGGUCACGCAAUCUAUACAACUUUCAACACCGGUUCUCUUGGCUAUCGCAGCGAUGCAGAACG